rnacentral:rRNA from 1 species
GCAAGUCGAGCGGUAGAGAGGUGCUUGCACCUCUUGAGAGCGGCGGACGGGUGAGUAAAGCCUAGGAAUCUGCCUGGUAGUGGGGGAUAACGCUCGGAAACGGACGCUAAUACCGCAUACGUCCUACGGGAGAAAGCAGGGGACCUUCGGGCCUUGCGCUAUCAGAUGAGCCUAGGUCGGAUUAGCUAGUUGGUGAGGUAAUGGCUCACCAAGGCGACGAUCCGUAACUGGUCUGAGAGGAUGAUCAGUCACACUGGAACUGAGACACGGUCCAGACUCCUACGGGAGGCAGCAGUGGGGAAUAUUGGACAAUGGGCGAAAGCCUGAUCCAGCCAUGCCGCGUGUGUGAAGAAGGUCUUCGGAUUGUAAAGCACUUUAAGUUGGGAGGAAGGGCAUUAACCUAAUACGUUAGUGUUUUGACGUUACCGACAGAAUAAGCACCGGCUAACUCUGUGCCAGCAGCCGCGGUAAUACAGAGGGUGCAAGCGUUAAUCGGAAUUACUGGGCGUAAAGCGCGCGUAGGUGGUUAGUUAAGUUGGAUGUGAAAUCCCCGGGCUCAACCUGGGAACUGCAUUCAAAACUGACUGACUAGAGUAUGGUAGAGGGUGGUGGAAUUUCCUGUGUAGCGGUGAAAUGCGUAGAUAUAGGAAGGAACACCAGUGGCGAAGGCGACCACCUGGACUGAUACUGACACUG